rnacentral:rRNA from 1 species
CACGUAGUUAGCCGGUGCUUAUUCUUACGGUACCGUCAUGACCCCUCUUUAUUAGAAAGAGGCUUUUCGUUCCGUACAAAAAGCAGUUUACAACCCGAAGGCCUUCAUCCUGCACGCGGCAUGGCUGGAUCAGGCUUUCGCCCAUUGUCCAAAAUUCCCCACUGCUGCCUCCCGUAGGAGUCUGGGCCGUGUCUCAGUCCCAGUGUGGCUGAUCAUCCUCUCAGACCAGCUAUAGAUCGUCGGCUUGGUAAGCUUUUAUCCCACCAACUACCUAAUCUGCCAUCGGCCGCUCCGUCCGCGCGAGGUCCGAAGAUCCCCCGCUUUCAUCCGUAGAUCGUAUGCGGUAUUAGCAAAGCUUUCGCCUCGUUAUCCCCCACGACUCGGGCACGUUCCGAUGUAUUACUCACCCGUUCGCCACUCGUCAGCAUCCGAAGACCUGUUACCGUUCGACUUGCAUGCGUAAGGCAUGCCGCCAGCGUUCAAGUCUGAGCCAGGAUACAAACUCUACG